GAAGCAGCAAGUCAACGUUUACGACUGAUUUCGCUGAAAACUUCAGCCAAAAUUUGAGCUAUUCGUGUCUUUUUAUGUUUGUAGUGAACGAAACUCACAAGACUUUUCAUUUUUCGAGCUGAUAUUUAUCUGCUGGUCUUAAGUAAGUUUGUUCCAGACAUUUAAUUCAGCUGUUUUUCCGCUGUGGAACCGAGACAAUGUUUUAUCUCUGAAUGCGAUAACAUUGGUAAUAUUAAUCGGUAGUAACAACAAUGAACAAAAACAAAUGGACAUACUGCUCUCUCCUGCAUUUGUGAGUGACAGUCAACCACUGUAGCAUUGUUGUCUCUAAUCUUGUCAGACAGAUAAACUGAUUCAGAUAAACAAAGCCACGCCAGACUUUGUCAGAUAAACAGUACGUUAGACACAGAUGUGCACGAUGUAACUCAGUGAAUAAAUUAAAAUGUCACUCAGUAAUAUUUGAAGUGCGAGUUAUAUAAAUGACUUGUGUGGAAAUUCUGCACCUUGUUGUCUGAGCUGUCUCCUUGAACUGGUCUCAUCUUCAGUCCUUCAGUGCAUCGGUGUAACAUGGUGAGCGUCUGCCCAGACUCUUCAGGUUCAUCUCUCCUCUGGUCAGACCACGACCAGCUAGACUUUUUGUUUGCCAUGUCUGUAUUAACUUUGUGUAUUCAUCAGCAUCAUCAACAUGUGCAUAAGCCUUCAUAAACCAAUCAUAUUGGCUGUGUUAUGUAUGAUUUGAUUAAAUGAAUUGAAUUAUAA